rnacentral:rRNA from 1 species
CGGGUGAGUAAUACAUCGGAACGUGCCCAGUAGUGGGGGAUAACCCGGCGAAAGCCGGACUAAUACCGCAUACGACCUACGGGUGAAAGCAGGGGAUCGCAAGACCUUGUGCUAUCGGAGCGGCCGAUGUCAGAUUAGCUUGUUGGCGGGGUAAAAGCCCACCAAGGCGACGAUCUGUAGCUGGUCUGAGAGGACGACCAGCCACACUGGGACUGAGACACGGCCCAG